rnacentral:rRNA from 1 species
GGCCUUUUGGUUAUAAUUUAAGGUCUAGCCUGCCCACUGAAUAUUAAAGGGCCGCGGUACCCUGACCGUGCUAAGGUAGCAUAAUCAUUAGUUUUUUAAUUGGAAGCUGGUAUGAAUGGUUGGAUGAGAAAAUAACUGUCUCUAUUUAAUUUUUAUUGAAUUUUAUAUUUAAGUAAGAAAGCUUAAAUUUUUUUAAAAGACGAGAAGACCCUAUAGAGUUUUAUAAAAAAAAAGAAGUUAUUUUUUUUAGUAUUUUAAAUUUAAUUUUUUUUAUUUUAUUUAGUUGGGGCGAUUGAAAAAUUUAAUAAACUUUUUUUAAGAAAUUACAUUGAUAUAUGAGUAUAUGAUCCAUAAAGUAUGAUUAUAAGAUUAAAUUACCUUAGGGAUAACAGCGUAAUUUUUUUUAAGAGUUCAAAUCGAAAAAAAAGUUUGCGACCUCGAUGUUGGAUUAAAAUUAAUUUUUGGUGUAGAGGCUAAAAAAUUAGGUCUGUUCGACCUUUAAAAUUUUACAUGA